rnacentral:ribozyme from 1 species
UGCCCAGCAACUCCUAUCCGUAUCUCCUCGUGGUACCGGCUGGAAACUACGAGCAACCUUAGGAAAGAUUGGGUAACCAACCCUGGUGGGAACUUUGGUCGUAGGCUGACAGGGAAGG